rnacentral:rRNA from 1 species
GACGAACGCUGGCGGCGUGCUUAACACAUGCAAGUCAAGGACCGUAGCAAUACGGGACUGGCGCACGGGUGCGGAACACGUAGGCAAUCUGCCCUUCAAGGGAGAACAACCAGCCGAAAGGUUGGCUAAAUCUCCGUAAAAUCAUAGAGUGGCAUCACUUAUUGAUCAAGUUUUUUGAAGGAUGAGCCUGCGUCUGAUUAGCUAGUUGGCGGGGUAACGGCCCACCAAGGCUACGAUCAGUAGCUGGUCUGAGAGGAUGAUCAGCCACAU